CAGUCGCCACGGUAAUACGUAGGGUGCAAGCGUUAAUCGGAAUUACUGGGCGUAAAGCGUGCGCAGGCGGUUAUAUAAGACAGAUGUGAAAUCCCCGGGCUCAACCUGGGAACUGCAUUUGUGACUGUAUAGCUAGAGUACGGCAGAGGGGGAUGGAAUUCCGCGUGUAGCAGUGAAAUGCGUAGAUAUGCGGAGGAACACCGAUGGCGAAGGCAAUCCCCUGGGCCUGUACUGACGCUCAUGCACGAAAGCGUGGGGAGCAAACAGGAUUAGAUACCCGGGUAGUCCCUGUAUCUUAUAC
rnacentral:rRNA from 1 species